rnacentral:rRNA from 1 species
AUUGAACGCUGGCGGCAUGCUUUACACAUGCAAGUCGAACGGUAACAGGGUGCUUGCACCGCUGACGAGUGGCGAACGGGUGAGUAAUGCGUCGGAACGUGCCGAGUAGUGGGGGAUAACGCAGCGAAAGUUGUGCUAAUACCGCAUACGUACUGAGGUAGAAAGUGGGGGACCUUCGGGCCUCACGCUAUUCGAGCGGCCGACGUCUGAUUAGCUAGUAGGUGAGGUAAAGGCUCACCUAGGCGACGAACAGUAGCGGGUAUGAGAGGAUGAUCCGCCACACUGGGACUGAGACGCGGCGCAGACUCCUACGGGAGUCAGCAGUGGGGAAUUUUGGACAAUGGGCGAAAGCCUGAUCCAGCCAUGCCGCGUGUCUGAAGAAGGCCUUCGGGUUGUAAAGGACUUUUGUCGGGGAGGAAAUCCCCAGCGCUAAUACCGCUGGGGGAUGACAGUACCUGAAGAAUAAGCACCGGCUAACUACGUGCCAGCAGCCGCCGUAAAAC